UGCAACCUGCAGCUUCCUCUCUAUCUCAUGUCCAACACCUCAGAUAUCUGCAGAGCCACAGGGAGCAGAGCUGUUUUGCAGGCUGAUAGGAUGGAGAGAUGAAGUUUCCUCCACAGCCCUGGGAAGACCACAGAGCUUCGCAUGCUCUGUGCACAUGUGUGCAAACUCACUCAGCAUAAGAGCAGAAAGAAACCUACAGAGCCUUAUGUCUGAUCCUUGCCCCAAAAGGCAGGAGACUCAAGAGGGACCAACCUGCCAUGAGUAAAAUGGCACGUUGCUGCUUCCCUGCCACCCCAGAGAAGUCCGCAAGCUGGAGAACCCUGUGGGCAGCCUCACAUCCUGCUUUUGACUAGGGAAUAGGAGCAAACACUCCCACCCUCAGCUCACAGUCAGCCAACGGAAAAAUUUCUCUUUCAAAGCUGCCUACCAAGCUUUGCCCACACUGCAGCAGUGGCCUCGCUCUCUUCACUGGGACACAAGUGUGCUGGGCGAGCUUCCCAUGCUGCAGUCUUUAGGCAGGGAAGAACAGUGCCCUGGGCUCUGCUCAUCAGUGCCAUACUGAAACAGAUAUGCAGCACAUGGUGAACAAUUAACCACCUGUAUAUAGCACAGGAAUGAUGUCAAAGCUCUUCCAAAGACACAUAGCACUGGUUCUGGCCUUUGGAAAUUUCCUGGAGACAGGAGACAACCUUUUGCCUAGAAGAGACAGAAAAGAGUCCAGGGAAGAAGCUCAUCUUUCAGAAACACACAAACCAACUGUCAGAGCUCUCAGGGCUCCUUCUAAUCAAUAUGAAACUAUGCUGUGCUCCAGAGAAAAGAAUGCACUUCGAGGAGUGUGGUACUCACUUGUGUUUCUACCCUCUGUGGUAAGUGGAAGAAGAAGCACGCAGGGGCCUGUCGUGUCACCAAGUGAGCCCUGCCAUUUGGCAAUAUCUGAAUUUUCAUUUCAAGCAUUUGUAGAGCCUGUUUGUAAAAAGCCUAUUGCAGAGAGGGCACAUGUCAAGAUUUCUGUAUAUAAAGCAGAUAUCUCUAGGAUCACUAUUACUGCACAAGCUGCUUCUGGGACACUGAUCUCUGACAGCUCCCUGCCCCAGCUUAAAUAUUCAAAGAUUUCCCUGCUGACUGCAGGAAUCAGACAUCCAGAUUUUAAGUUCAAAGUUGUGCUAAUAAAUAUGAGAUCAACAAAUAAAAAACAGUUUCAA